GAAGCUAAACCGAUGAAGAGAAGCUAGUUGGAUUUACUUGAUUAAAUCUUGAUUUUUAUCAAGUGAAUUUCGCCCUUUAGUCCCUUGUAAAAUAUCUCAGUGAUUUAAAACGUUUUUUUUUCUAUUCAAAGCACAUAUAUUGCUAGCUUGGACGAACUGUUGUUGUCAAGCAGGAAUCCUCUAAAAUAAGUGAUAUUAUAUCAGUGAUAUUCCGGUGGAAACGUCCGGUGGAUGCCAGACUGAAAGAGAAACAAUGAUGGUAUUUGAUCUGCCGACCCACUGAGCUCCCCGAGAUAAAACAUCUGAUGAAAAUUAACUCCAACGUUACAGAUUCUGGCAUGGAAGACAAGGCAAAUGGCUCUGCUGACACCAAAAG